CAUCAACGGCGGUAAUAGCAACAGCAGUAGCAGUAGUACUAAUUGCAGCAGUUGCAGCAGUUGCAGCAGCAUCCAUUCUUUCUUUACGUUUUACUAUGAUAAGUCGUUU
rnacentral:rRNA from 14 species